UUCGUGUUCCACAUUGAACGCCAGCGUUAAAGAAUAUAACACAUUGUGUUCAGUCUUUGAACGCACAUGUUCAAGACAAGUGUUCUAAAUUGAACACUAGAAAUGUUCUAAUAUUGUAAUGGGGAGUGAACAAAUAUUUCAUCGCUUCAGAGUCAAACAGACGAUCAAUAAGGGUGAUUCGCACUAUAAUUUGACGAUAAAUGUAUUUUAGCUGUAUCAACAUAAGCAAAUUAUAGUUUGGUAAAAAAAAAAUGAAAGAGCGUAUUUAUAUAAGCGUGCAAAUGAUUGAUUUUUAGUAUAAAUCUUCUUUCUAAAGGACUUGAGUUCUUUGGGGAUAUUUUUUUACAAUGUAAAUGUGUAAAUGCUCAUGAAAACGUUGCUAUUGUAAAAGCGUUCUGGCGUCGAACAUGAUGCGUUCAAAUUUACCAUUUCCCCCCGAACGCCAUGUGUUCCAAACAUGCCAGCGUACAUAACAGCGCGUGACGUAUUUAAUGUACCGGAAGUUUGGUUUUUGAUCGUGAUUGAAGAAGCUUCACUGAAGAAAAUUACAGCAAAACUUGAUUUAAUAUGGUACAAACACAACUAUAGUACUGAGGGGUAAUUGUUCGUGCAUACCUCGCCGAGAAUGAAGAGAAAAUUUCGCAGUUCAAGAGAUGACUACUUAUCCUGCACAAUAAAAGUACUUUAUAACUCACAGUUGAUGGAUAACAAGGUUAAAGAGUAGUUAUAACCCAAGGAGACGAAUGUUCUAAAAAAUGGAAGUUCAAAAGACGAAUGUUCUAAAAAAUGGCAGCUCAAAAUCAGUUGUAGACGACUAAAAUCAUGUUAAAAAGUACCUAAGGUAACAGUGUUACAUGAACACCGACUCGACUAGUAGCAGCAUAUACACAGGGUAUUUUAUGUUUGAUAUUGACUAUCUGAGUGCUACGAAAGCUGUGGAUCAUCGAAAAUAUUGGUGAUAAACGAGUCAUUGACAUAAGUAUUUUGUAAUUCAGGACAGUGCUUGACUUGAGAAGUUGCAAACGAUGAGUUAAACUGUGUUCAUAAGUCACUAAACUUUG